rnacentral:rRNA from 1 species
UACGUAGGGGGCAAGCGUUGUCCGGAUUUAUUGGGCGUAAAGAGCGUGUAGGCGGCUGGGUAGGUCCGUUGUGAAAGCUCGAGGCUCAACCUCGAGACGCCGAUGGAAACCCCCCAGCUAGAGUCCGGAAGAGGAGAGUGGAAUUCCUGGUGUAGCGGUGAAAUGCGCAGAUAUCAGGAGGAACACCGGUGGCGAAGGCGGUUCUCUGGGCAUUACCUGACGCUGAGGAGCGAAAGUGUGGGGAGCGAACAGG